rnacentral:rRNA from 1 species
CCUACGGGAGGCAGCAGUGGGGAAUAUUGCACAAUGGGGGAAACCCUGAUGCAGCGACGCCGCGUGAGUGAAGAAGUAUUUCGGUAUGUAACGCUCUAUCAGCAGGGGAGAAAUAGCGACCUUUGGGUCGCCAGACGGUACCUGAUUAAGAAGCCCCGGCUAACUACGUGCCAGCAGCCGCGGUAAUACGUAGGGGGCAAGCGUUAUCCGGGUUUACUGGGUGGAAAGGGAGCGUAGACGGCAGCGCAAGUCUGAAGUGAAAUGCCGGGGCUUAACCCCGGAACUGCUUUGGAAACUGUGCAGCUAGAGUGCAGGAGAGGUAAGUGGAAUUCCGAGUGUAGCGGUGAAAUGCGUAGAUAUUAGGAGGAACACCAGUGGCGAAGGCGGCUUACUGGACUGUAACUGACGUUGAGGCUCGAAAGCGUGGGGAGCAAACAGGAUUAGAUACCCGAGUAGUC